UGAGGAAUAUUGGUCAAUGGGCGCUAGCCUGAACCAGCCAAGUAGCGUGAAGGAUGACUGCCCUAUGGGUUGUAAACUUCUUUUAUAUGGGAAUAAAGUGCAGUAUGUAUACUGCUUUGCAUGUACCUUAUGAAUAAGGAUCGGCUAACUCCGUGCCAGCAGCCGCGGUAAUACGUAGGGGGCAAGCGUUAUCCGGAUUUACUGGGUGUAAAGGGGGCGUAGGCGGGUUGUUAAGUCAGCGGUGAAAGUUUGUGGCUCAACCAUAAAAUUGCCGUUGAAACUGGUUGACUUGAGUAUAUUUGAGGUAGGCGGAAUGCGUGGUGUAGCGGUGAAAUGCAUAGAUAUCACGCAGAACUCCGAUUGCGAAGGCAGCCUGCUGGACUGUAACUGACGCUGAUGCUCGAAAGUGUGGGUAUCAAACAGG
rnacentral:rRNA from 1 species